rnacentral:lncRNA from 1 species
CCUGCCUUUGCCUCUCCUUUGUCCUCUGCCAUGAGUGUGAGGCCUCCCCAGCCAUGUGGAACUCAAAGGCUUGACUGAAGUCACGGGUCUCAUCAUUCCUUUCCUAAGCUUUCUUCAAACAGCAUGGUGCGUGGAUGAGGACACACGUGCUCUGUAGAAGGUGGGGCCACAAAGCCCUGCCGACCGACCUUUCCUGCCUUCUGCCUCUAAGGUGCAACCCCGAAAGCACCUGCUGGAACCUUUGGGGCUCAGGGAGCACAGCCUGGAAGCAGGGGGAUACUCCCCAGGGCUGCAGUCCACCUCGGAAGCUGCUCACCACAGGUGUCUGCUUACACUUCAAUUCAGAUCACAUAAGAUACACAUGCAGCUCUUAGGCUUCUGAGCCACCCUUCAAGAGCACAGCCACUCGUGGCUAAUGGCUGCUGACUGGAACCCUGGAUGGCCCAAUCUGGAACUUUUCAUCACCCCAGAGCAUCCUGUGCAGUGCUUCUCCCGGGGAGCCCUGCAGGCAGUGACCUCCAGCUCCGAGCCUGAUCCCACAUGAGCAGGAAGAAGACAGCCCAGGGAGGCUGCCCACAGCCACAAGCUCAUUUCUCAUGGCAAACCACAAAUGGGAGAUGCUAAGAAAUUAGAAUAGAGGAUGCUCCAGAGCAGACGCUCCUGUUUACAGAGCUGAAACUCAGUACUCAUUAAACAACUCCCUCCUGCAGCCACGCUGGGAGCUGACACUCUCCACACAUGCUUCAUGCACCCAGGCGCUCAUCCAGGGAUCAUCCUGUACCUCAAAUACCCCCAAGAACUGUCCUGCCCCAGGACCUUUGCACAUGCUGGACCCACUACCUGUGAUGCCCUCUUCUGGCUCACCACGUGGCUGGCUCCAUCUCAUUCAUUGGUCUCAGCC